rnacentral:rRNA from 1 species
CCCUUAGAUGUUCUGGGCGGCCCGCGCACUACAGUGGCGUGUGCAGCGAGUGCCGAAGUAGAGUUUUCCGAGGUAUUCUUGCAAUGCUCGUUUUGAUGGGGAUAGACCCUUGCAACUGUUGGUUUUGAACGAGGAAUUCCUUGUAAGCAUGGUUUAUCAUCCGACGCUGAAUGCGUCCCUGCCCUUUGUACACACCGCCCGUCGCUCCUACCGAUGAGUCGUCCGGUGAAGUUCGUAGACCUCGUGAUCGCGGAUCACUGGGGGAAGCAAAAUGAACCUCGCGGUUUAGAGGAAGGAGAAGUCGUAACA